rnacentral:rRNA from 1 species
AGAGUUUGAUCCUGGCUCAGGAUGAACGCUGGCGGCGUGCCUAAUACAUGCAAGUCGAGCGAACGGACGAGAAGCUUGCUUCUCUGAUGUUAGCGGCGGACGGGUGAGUAACACGUGGAUAACCUACCUAUAAGACUGGGAUAACUUCGGGAAACCGGAGCUAAUACCGGAUGAUAUUUUGAACCGCAUGGUUCAAAAGUGAAAGACGGUCUUGCUGCCACUUAUAGAUGGAUCCGCGCUGCAUUAGCUAGUUGGUAAGGUAACGGCUUACCAAGGCAACGAUGCAUAGCCGACCUGAGAGGGUGAUCGGCCACACUGGAACUGAGACACGGUCCAGACUCCUACGGGAGGCAGCAGUAGGGAAUCUUCCGCAAUGGGCGAAAGCCUGACGGAGCAACGCCGCGUGAGUGAUGAAGGUCUUCGGAUCGUAAAACUCUGUUAUUAGGGAAGAACAUAUGUGUAAGUAACUGUGCACAUCUUGACGGUACCUAAUCAGAAAGCCACGGCUAACUACGUGCCAGCAGCCGCGGUAAUACGUAGGUGGCAAGCGUUAUCCGGAAUUAUUGGGCGUAAAGCGCGCGUAGGCGGUUUUUUAAGUCUGAUGUGAAAGCCCACGGCUCAACCGUGGAGGGUCAUUGGAAACUGGAAAACUUGAGUGCAGAAGAGGAAAGUGGAAUUCCAUGUGUAGCGGUGAAAUGCGCAGAGAUAUGGAGGAACACCAGUGGCGAAGGCGACUUUCUGGUCUGUAACUGACGCUGAUGUGCGAAAGCGUGGGGAUCAAACAGGAUUAGAUACCCUGGUAGUCCACGCCGUAAACGAUGAGUGCUAAGUGUUAGGGGGUUUCCGCCCCUUAGUGCUGCAGCUAACGCAUUAAGCACUCCGCCUGGGGAGUACGACCGCAAGGUUGAAACUCAAAGGAAUUGACGGGGACCCGCACAAGCGGUGGAGCAUGUGGUUUAAUUCGAAGCAACGCGAAGAACCUUACCAAAUCUUGACAUCCUUUGACAACUCUAGAGAUAGAGCCUUCCCCUUCGGGGGACAAAGUGACAGGUGGUGCAUGGUUGUCGUCAGCUCGUGUCGUGAGAUGUUGGGUUAAGUCCCGCAACGAGCGCAACCCUUAAGCUUAGUUGCCAUCAUUAAGUUGGGCACUCUAAGUUGACUGCCGGUGACAAACCGGAGGAAGGUGGGGAUGACGUCAAAUCAUCAUGCCCCUUAUGAUUUGGGCUACACACGUGCUACAAUGGACAAUACAAAGGGCAGCGAAACCGCGAGGUCAAGCAAAUCCCAUAAAGUUGUUCUCAGUUCGGAUUGUAGUCUGCAACUCGACUACAUGAAGCUGGAAUCGCUAGUAAUCGUAGAUCAGCAUGCUACGGUGAAUACGUUCCCGGGUCUUGUACACACCGCCCGUCACACCACGAGAGUUUGUAACACCCGAAGCCGGUGGAGUAACCUUUUAGGAGCUAGCCGUCGAAGGUGGGACAAAUGAUUGGGGUGAAGUCGUAACAAGGUAGCCGUAUCGGAAGGUGCGGCUGGAUCACCU